CGCGGACAUUGGUAUCGUCUUGUAGAGUAGAUAACGCUGGAGUUAAUGUCGGGUACCCCGUAAUUUUAGUCUGAACGGAGAGAGAUUGCAGAUUGCCGAGCAAUUUUUUUUUAACGGAAAUUAUGGUCAGUUUUCCCAUUUUUACGGAAAUAAUGUACAAAUAGCCAAUUCCACACCGCAUCAACUUAUACAGAACUAAGUAUGUCAAUCAUUGAAGGAAAUGGCCAACAUCAAUAUCAUUCGAUUGUUCCGAUAGGGACUCUUGCGAAACUGCAUGUCGUACUACAUGUCACACAGUAGAAUCAAAACUGACUGCUAAUUUCGAUUAGUAAAUGGUUUCCUCGUUGAAUUAGCUGAUUUUAAAAUAAACGAAAAUAAAGUAGUGUUACCAUA